GUUAACGCUGGCGGUAGGCCUAACACAUGCAAGUCGAACGGCAGCACAGUAAGAGCUUGCUCUUACGGGUGGCGAGUGGCGGACGGGUGAGGAAUACAUCGGAAUCUACUUUUUCGUGGGGGAUAACGUAGGGAAACUUACGCUAAUACCGCAUACGACCUACGGGUGAAAGCAGGGGAUCUUCGGACCUUGCGCGAUUGAAUGAGCCGAUGUCGGAUUAGCUAGUUGGCGGGGUAAAGGCCCACCAAGGCGACGAUCCGUAGCUGGUCUGAGAGGAUGAUCAGCCACACUGGAACUGAGACACGGUCCAGACUCCUACGGGAGGCAGCAGUGGGGAAUAUUGGACAAUGGGCGCAAGCCUGAUCCAGCCAUACCGCGUGGGUGAAGAAGGCCUUCGGGUUGUAAAGCCCUUUUGUUGGGAAAGAAAAGCAGCAGGUUAAUACCCCGCUGUUCUGACGGUACCCAAAGAAUAAGCACCGGCUAACUUCGUG
rnacentral:rRNA from 1 species